UCCAUCUACCAGCUUAGGAAAACCUGGACUGAAAGACUUCACCCAGCCUCAUCUCUGCAUCCUUUUCAAGUAAGCAGGUGUUGUAAGAAAUUGAGGCUCUUUAUCCUGAAGGGACAUUUUCAUAGCAACUGCUGAAUUCUAUGGAGAAGUUAUGGUCCUGGCCAGCCUGCUGCUGCUGAGCCUGCUUGACUAAAGGGUGGAUGUGGUGAUCCCACCUUUCAGCCUCAGCCACUUUGUUCAUCUGUGAAAUUAACUGCAUUUUGUCUUAAGAGUUAACCUGGCAGGAUUUUUUUCCCUAAUGUCUUCCAUUUACAGUUCAGAGAGGUAAACUCAGCUGCCCUUUGUUUACAGUGGCUUUGGAGUUUUGUGGAGUCAAAUUUACCAUUUUUAAUGGUGUAAAUUGAGCAGAGGAAAACAUCAGUUGUUCCUGUGCUCUGAAUUACAAUUACAGGAGUCCUUGCUCCUUGUGAGGAAGUACCAGGAAACCCUGAAUUGAAUAAAGCCUGAAUUGAAUGACACAACUUCUAACACUUCUUUAAUGCCAAUUUUCCUUAUACUUAGAGAAUAAAAAUGCACAUAAAAUACGUAACUGAUGUAGUUGUACAGUUGAAUUCAGUAUUCUGUUUGCAGGCUUUAAGAUUUCUAGAAAAUGGUCUGCGGUGGUUAAAUUGAAGUUGGCACAAUAUGAAGAUUUCCAGUAGGGUUUUGAAGCGAAGA